GACGAACCGUCCUAACGUUGUUCGGAAUCACUGGGCUUAAAGGGCGCGUAGGCGGGCGACCAAGUCCGGGGUGAAAUCUUUCGGCUUAACCGGAAAAUAGCCUUGGAUACUGGUUGUCUCGAGGGAGGUAGGGGCCGUUGGAACUUCCGGUGGAGCGGUGAAAUGCGUUGAUAUCGGAAGGAACGCCGGUGGCGAAAGCGAACGGCUGGACCUCUUCUGACGCUGAGGCGCGAAAGCCAGGGGAGCAAACGGG
rnacentral:rRNA from 1 species